GUAACUGGUGAGCUACAAGGCUGUUGUUAUGCGGGAGUUGAUUUCCCAUGUCUGAAAGUAAUUCGGGGAAUAGUUGCUAAUAUCAUCAACAAGGAUACCUAAAGCAAUUUAGGCAUGGAUUUACAACAAAAUUUAGAUGAUGGAGUUGUUAGCCGCGUUUCACCACCAAUGACUACAGUGCCUCGUGUGCUGCAUGCAAUUCUCCGGUGAAACACAAUGCUGCAACACUUGGGCGGCAAACAGCACAGAGAAGCAGGAGCCCGAUACAUGCUUGCCGACACCCGGAAAGAAUGUGUUUCCCUCAGGUGUCUAGUCAAACCUGCGGUCCCUGGCAGCCGCAGAGAAAGGGGAGGUCGAGGCCGCUGAUGGGGGACACAGGUGUAGCAUCUGCGAUGUUACCUUAGUGGAGUGACGCCCUUAGAAGAGCACCUUAAUAGCAAAAGUCACAAGAAACACUCUG